CUGAAUUAUUCCCUUACCCAUGAUAUAUUCCUAUUAAUAACAUUUUGCUCUGACUAACAAACAGCUUUAUUUCAUUUCCAGGAUUUUUGGCAUUCCUACAGUUUCUAAAAAUACGAACUGAAACACUCACUCCUGGAGCGGUCAAAAAUAUUGCUACUUCAAUACAAUAUUGCAGCAAAGAGACCUGGUGCAAGGAAGUCUAUUGCCACUUUCAUAGAAAAAUCAACAGAAAAGGAAGCGACACUGCUGGAUGGAGGAAAUCAGCAAAGAGAGCAGUGAGUAUGCUCAUUAAUAGGGUCUAAACCAAAUUUUACAUGCGGGGUCAAUGGUGGGCAUAUUGACUUAAUUCGUGUUGUUUGCUCAGUACUGAUUUCACAGAGGAAAGCAAGUCCAGUUUGAGGUCAAAGCCACCGACAACAGCUCUGUUACCUGAAGGGAGCAAAACUUUCUGUGAGGGGGCAAAGCCUGUGCAGGUGAAAGACAAAACUUCCUUGAAGAGAAUCUGAGAUGGCGAAAAUGCCUAAAGUCUAUAAGGUCUACAAUAAAUAUCAACACUUUGAGCUUCA
ensembl:lncRNA